GAAGCAGAGGGAACAGGAUGAGCUGAUGAGCAUCCUCGAGGGAGUUUAGAGCCCAGUGGGCCUCCCUGCUCUCCACUCCCAGUUAACUGCCCUGCCUAGUCUGGGCUCUGGGGAGUGACCCUGAAGUUCCAGAAACUGACCACUGAGGGGCAGUAUCAACCCACUUCUGAAGGGAAGAUGGCCUGUUCCUUUGGAACCUGGAAGACUCCUCUGCCAGGUCCCGGAACUGGUCAUUGGAGACAAUGAUCCCAUCAGUCUCUUCAGCCAGCUUCACCAUGAACCUGUCACGAAAACCACGGCAUCCAAUUGGAAUUCUCCAAGGUCCCAGCCCCAAAGAGCGUUAUCAACUCCCGUGACCCACUUCUGGUGAUGGAGAUCCGGCCCCCUCACCUUGAUCCAGCCACCAGCCUUUGCCAAGAAAGUUAACUACUCUGACCCUCCGUCUCCAUUUCUGUACAACAGAGGUAAGACCCUCUGCCACACUUGAUUGGAUCCAUGAAAAACUAAGCAAUAUUACUGCCCUCUUGCCCAGCACCCUGAGUGAGACAAACACAUACCUUAGCUUCUUUUGACAUUCACAAGGAGGAUGAAUGAAUGGAAGAGAACCUUGAGACAAAGUGAUUAAUCCACUAAGAGACUCCACAGUCAAUGACUGUGCAAACUGGGACUCAAAUCCAGACCUGCAAAUUCUAAGACCCAUGAUCUUUCACUGUCUUUUAUUAUACCAUGUUUUGUACAGUCUUACUAUGCAUGGAAUGCGUUUCUUCAUUUAUAGUUAUUUUGAACAUUUACUCUGGUUUUUCCAGAAGGCUGGGGAAUUUCUCUAUGUAUUUGGACAUCCAGGUUGUAAGAGGCAUUUGUCAGCUAUUCAUGUCAUUGGCUUUCCCAUCUUUCCAUUAAACCAGUAUUUUCUAGACAGUAAGGCACUAUAUAAAUAUGAGGCAUCCUUUAGUUUGAUGAGUGAAAAGUGAAGGAUGAGUAGACAAACAGAACUGUCCACCAUCCAUCUCAUCCUGCCUGCAGGGCAGGUUUACCUCCCCAAUCAUAGGGGCACACGGAGGAGAACUGACCCUUGUCCCACGACUCAGGCUUACAGUGUGAAGGGUCAGGAGCUUCUGUCUCUC